rnacentral:rRNA from 1 species
GAUGAACGCUGGCGGCGUGCCUAAUACAUGCAAGUCGAGCGAACAGACGAGGAGCUUGCUCCUCUGACGUUAGCGGCGGACGGGUGAGUAACACGUGGAUAACCUUCCUAUAAGACUGGGAUAACUUCGGGAAACCGGAGCUAAUACCGGAUAAUAUAUUGAACCGCAUGGUUCAAUAGUGAAAGACGGUUUUGCUGUCACUUAUAGAUGGAUCCGCGCCGCAUUAGCUAGUUGGUAAGGUAACGGCUUACCAAGGCAACGAUGCGUAGCCGACCUGAGAGGGUGAUCGGCCACACUGGAACUGAGACACGGUCCAGACUCCUACGGGAGGCAGCAGUAGGGAAUCUUCCGCAAAGGGCGAAAGCCUGACGGAGCAACGCCGCGUGAGUGAUGAAGGUCUUCGGAUCGUAAAACUCUGUUAUUAGGGAAGAACAAAUGUGUAAGUAACUAUGCACGUCUUGACGGUACCUAAUCAGAAAGCCACGGCUAACUACGUG